ensembl:lncRNA
GGGAUGUUGUGUGGUGUCCUGGCAGCCAGGGCGCCUCACAGCCUUCUUGUGCUUAGGAACACUAGAUAGCGCUUCGGUAUAUGCUUGGGAGUCAUUUGAAACAAUGAAAUCACCAACAAAAAGCACAAAAAUGUGAAAAAUGUGACACUGAAUAGACCAUGAAAAGGGUGCUUGUUUACAAAGAGAAACAAAACAAGUAGCAAGAGCAUCUCUUUAUUCAACCUCCAUUGCCUGGCUGGGACCUCAGUUAGAAACAAGUGCAUUGCUGACUCCAACUUUUUGCUGCUCUGCACAUGUCUGCUAUUGACAGCAGAGGGACAGAGUAUUGAUUUUGGGAUUACAAGUAAAUUUUUGCCAGUUGGCAAAUACAGAAUCGGUGAAUCUUGAGGAUGGCUGUAUCUAACUUCCCUGAAACCAAACACAAAAGGCCAAGGAAUGGGCUUUUAUAGCUUUUUCUCUGUUCAUCCAUUUGGAAGGGGCCAUAACUUCAGUAUAUUUUAACUUUCAAGAUGUCAUCAAUACUUUGGGGUUUAAUGCCUUACACAAAUAACCCUGAAAUUAUAGUUUGUUUUGAUCUAAACAGUGUGAAAUCAGAUUUUAUUACUUUGAAAAUGGCCUAAUACUUGUGAAUCUCUCACCUUUGGUCAGCAUGUUCUUCCUAUAUUCCCAUAAAUUGGAUGCUCUGAGCAGGUUUUUCUAUUUGGCCAUUGAGGUCAGUGAACUGAAUAGAAGUUAGGGUACCGUUUAACACUCUUGAGGGGUGUAGGCUCCUGCAGUGAGAGAUCGUGUUUUGGGGUCUAAUUUUGCUCUGGGCCACGGCUAAGUCCAUCAGGAAUCUCGCCAUAGUACAAUGGUGUUUGACUGGACAGGCUUUCAACACUGUGUCAGUGGCGAUUUGCAGAAAUUCCCUGGAAGAUUCAAAAGCCCAUGAAGGGGCCUGACAGGUGAAAGUUGGGAAAAGCACAAACUAAAUAAUAGUAUUUAUGGAGACUGAGCCAAAGCAGCACUGGGACACCAAGGAGAGGUGACCACUUCCCUUUUUGAAGAUGCUAUGAGCUUCCUGUGAAAGAAAACAUACCGGAUUUGGCUUUAAGAAAGAAAAUAUUUUGAUCUUUGGGUUUUAAUAAGCAAUUUCCUAAGAAGCUAAAUUAAGUUAAAUUUAAGAAGAAAAUGAAAAAUAAAAUGAAUAGACACAUAAACCCCAAUGUGCUUUAAAAAUGCCUUUAUAAUUUUCCAUGGAACAAUUUUUUGUAUAGUUAAGGAAAAGCACGUUAGUCAUCUUUUCUGGCAGCCUGAAACUAUUUGGUUUCUAAUUCCUAAAGGAAUCAUUUAUUUAGCUCAUUGAAGAGUAAGCCGGCUGCCCCAUCAAGUGCCCACCACCCCCUCAGAGCUGGGGAGUCCCUCUGGGGAGGCUCAGGUUAUGGCUGCACGUCCAGCGCCUGUUGGAGUGCCGCACAGCAAGUCCAAGAUAACCCCAGGGCCUCCAGGAAAGAGAGCCGCGCGCAUCUUGCCGUUAGGCAGAUCAACUUUCCUUGUCUCUUCUCUUUCCCUAAAAUGUUGAGCCUUCCUGCCCAGAUGAUGUCCCCGCUUGUGCAGAUGCAAGAAACAAGGCAGAACGCCACGCCACUUUGUUUUCCCUGGAAGGGAAAGGAGCACUUAACGCCCUCGGAAGCAACACCCUCCAAAUACAGCAAUCCCGCUGUUCUGGGGGCCAGACUGCCACUGACCUCAGCUUUCCUAGCCACAAAAGAUUUUGGAAAACGCCUUUAAGGAAAAGGCGGUCACAAAGCCCGUCUACUUUUUUCAGGCCAGAGGACUAGGCAGAUUAAGGAGGAGGCCCCGGGAGCAGUAAUGGACACUGCCUAGGAUGCUGGUUUUGAAGGAGCACUAAAUCCCCACUGGAAGAAACUAAAAAUGCGAUGUCCAUUAACUCAAGUUUUCACUUACAACUGUUCCUGUGGAAGCAGUUCCUUCCUGCAAACUUCACCUUCGUGUCAUGGGACUUCUCAGUGAAGCAGCCUUUUUGUGACACCUCCAUGCGAGCAGCAGGGCACAACUGCAGGCCUGACCGCAGCCCCUCCCCCCGCCACCUGGGUCCACAUGUGGAGGCUGGAGUCCCGUUUCCCACAGCUGAUGAUGCCUGGUUCCUAAGAUGCUGUUCCUGGGAGUGGGGGCGCUCAUUCUCUUUUAUUAUCUAAAUGAUAAGCUCUUUAAUUGCCUCACAAAACAGCCUGGCUUAGAAAAUUGUGGGCAAUUUUAUUUUUAAAUUGCCCAGAAUUUUCUAAGCCACAAGAGUAUGUAGCCAUUCUCUUGUUUGGAAUACUGUAUAAAGAAAGAAGUAUAUGAUUUUUAUUCGUAGAACAUUCUCACUCCCACUAAUGUUGAACAAAAAUGCUUUCGAGGGGAGCAACUUUAUUAACUCUCUUAGGGGCCCCAGUGUGUCUAGCCCUGUGGGUUUGACUUGUUUGGCUAUUGGGUUUCUUCCCUGUCUUCAGCCCUAGGGAUGGGCCACUGGGAGUGGAAUAUCUGGUCUACAAAUAUCUAAACAGCUUAGAAAAUCCAUUUAAAUGUUGAGUAAGCAUCUCAGACUUAACAGGUCUAAAAUAGAUCUCUUGAUUUCUCAAGCUCCCACCUUUCUUGCAAGUGCUUUCUUACUCACAAGCUAGGAUGACCAACCAUCAUGGUUUUUCCUGGACUGAGGGUUUUCAGCGCUAAAACCAGGAAAGUCCCGGGACGAGUCUGUCACCUUAUUUCAGGCCAAUUUGUGCCUCGGGAGGCAGCAAAGGGUUUGCCAGUGCGGGCUGUGGAGCCGACUGCCUGGGGAAGGGCCUAACUCCAUUCUUGAACUUGCCAUGUAACUGUGGCACUUAAAAAUUGAGAAAAAUAGCAUCUGCUUAUUAGUGAUGUUGUGGAGCCACAAUGAAAUCAUGUAUGUAGAGUGCUUCUCAGUGUGCUGUGCGUGUAGGAAGGGCUCAUAAAUGUUAGCUUCUAUUAUUGUUGCAAUUAUUAUUAUUUGAAGGUAUAACACAGUAAUGGAGUGGGUAAUCCUGUGGGAAAAACAACAACUAAUACACCCGAUGUCAGCCCAGAGCCAUCAAAUAACAUUCAUGACAGCUUAAGAAGGUGGGAAAGUAUGGAAUCAUGUUCCUCCUUUUGAAAACUGUUUAUCAAAAUGAAUUUUACCCUGAAAAGUUUGGUUGUCUAUAGGGGCAAGUCUUGAUUAUCUGGAAAAUCCAGGCAAAGGCAUUUCUUGGGUAAAGGAGGUACAACUCUGUAUGCACACUCAAGCGUCUACAGGCCUCCUAAGUGUCCUCGAUGGGGCACCAGACACUGGAGGGGGCGGGGAGGGCUGAGCCUGUGGUUGGUCAGUCUCGCCCCCAUCCGGGGACACAGUGUCAGGCUGCAGACCCCGGGGCUCCAGACACAUGUGUUUUAGAUUAGUGUUAAUAGUCUGCUUCUGAAGCUCUUAUUUCCUGUCAUUUGGCUGCAAAUUUUGCUGAGUCAUUUGACCUCAUGGCUUUUCUGAAAGAGUAGUCAUGUGAUCAGAAGAAACUGUUGUGGGCCCACAGCUUGUCUGUGCACAGAUAUUUUUUUCAAACUCGAUUCAACCAGUAUUCCCAGGUCACAAAC